AACUUAAAGGAAUUGACGGGGCCCGCACAAGCGGAGGAACAUGUGGUUUAAUUCGAUGAUACGCGAGGAACCUUACCUGGGCUUAAAUGGGGAGUGACAGCUGUCGAAAGAUGGUUUUCUUCGGACACUCUUCAAGGUGCUGCAUGGUUGUCGUCAGCUCGUGCCGUGAGGUGUUGGGUUAAGUCCCGCAACGAGCGCAACCCCUGCAUUCAGUUGCCAUCGGUAAGGCCGGGCACUCUGGAUGGACUGCCGGCGACAAGCCGGAGGAAGGUGGGGACGACGUCAAGUCAUCAUGGCCCUUAUGUCCAGGGCGACACACGUGCUACAAUGGCCGGCACAACGGGAAGCGAAGGGGCGACCCUGAGCGGAUCCCCAUAAAAGCCGGUCCCAGUUCGGAUUGCAGUCUGCAACUCGACUGCAUGAAGUUGGAAUCGCUAGUAAUCGUGGAUCAGCCAAGCCGCGGUGAAUACGUUCCCGGGCCUU
rnacentral:rRNA from 1 species